rnacentral:rRNA from 1 species
UACGGAGGGUGCAAGCGUUAUCCGGAUUCACUGGGUUUAAAGGGUGCGUAGGCGGAUAGGUAAGUCCGUGGUGAAAUCCUGCAGCUUAACUGCAGAACUGCCAUGGAUACUAUUUAUCUUGAAUGUCGUGGAGGUUAGCAGAAUAUGUCAUGUAGCGGUGAAAAUGCUUUAGAUAUGACAUAGAAUACCCCAUUGCAAGGCAGCUAACUACGCGAUAAUUGACGCUGAUGCACGAAAGCGUGGGGGAUCAAACAGG